UUUGGUUAAGUUAGAAAGGGCGCACGGUGGAUGCCUUGACGCUAGGAGUCGAUGAAGGACGGGACUAACGCCGAUAUGCUUCGGGGAGCUGUAAGUAAGCUUUGAUCCGAAGAUUUCCGAAUGGGGAAACCCACCAUACGUAAUGGUAUGGUAUCCUUAUCUGAAUACAUAGGGUAAGGAAGACAGACCCAGGGAACUGAAACAUCUAAGUACCUGGAGGAAGAGAAAGCAAAUGCGAUUUCCUGAGUAGCGGCGAGCGAAACGGAACAUAGCCCAAACCAAGAGGCUUGCCUCUUGGGGUUGUAGGACAUUCUAUACGGAGUUACAAAGGAACGAGGUAGACGAAGCGACCUGGAAAGGUCCGUCGUAGAGGGUAACAACCCCGUAGUCGAAACUUCGUUCUCUCUUGAAUGUAUCCUGAGUACGGCGGAACACGUGAAAUUCCGUCGGAAUCUGGGAGGACCAUCUCCCAAGGCUAAAUACUCCCUAGUGAUCGAUAGUGAACCAGUACCGUGAGGGAAAGGUGAAAAGCACCCCGGAAGGGGAGUGAAAGAGAUCCUGAAACCGUGUGCCUACAAAUAGUCAGAGCCCGUUAACGGGUGAUGGCGUGCCUUUUGUAGAAUGAACCGGCGAGUUACGAUCCCGUGCGAGGUUAAGCUGAAGAGGCGGAGCCGCAGCGAAAGCGAGUCUGAAUAGGGCGUUUAGUACGUGGUCGUAGACCCGAAACCAGGUGAUCUACCCAUGUCCAGGGUGAAGUUCAGGUAACACUGAAUGGAGGCCCGAACCCACGCACGUUGAAAAGUGCGGGGAUGAGGUGUGGGUAGCGGAGAAAUUCCAAUCGAACCUGGAGAUAGCUGGUUCUCCCCGAAAUAGCUUUAGGGCUAGCCUUAAGUGUAAGAGUCUUGGAGGUAGAGCACUGAUUGGACUAGGGGUCCUCAUCGGAUUACCGAAUUCAGUCAAACUCCGAAUGCCAAUGACUUAUCCUUAGGAGUCAGACUGCGAGUGAUAAGAUCCGUAGUCAAAAGGGAAACAGCCCAGACCGCCAGCUAAGGUCCCAAAGUGUGUAUUAAGUGGAAAAGGAUGUGGAGUUGCUUAGACAACUAGGAUGUUGGCUUAGAAGCAGCCACCAUUUAAAGAGUGCGUAAUAGCUCACUAGUCGAGUGACUCUGCGCCGAAAAUGUACCGGGGCUAAAUACACCACCGAAGCUGCGGAUUGAUACCAAUGGUAUCAGUGGUAGGGGAGCGUUCUAAGGACAGUGAAGUCAGACCGGAAGGACUGGUGGAGUGCUUAGAAGUGAGAAUGCCGGUAUGAGUAGCGAAAGACGGGUGAGAAUCCCGUCCACCGAAUGCCUAAGGUUUCCUGAGGAAGGCUCGUCCGCUCAGGGUUAGUCAGGACCUAAGCCGAGGCCGACAGGCGUAGGCGAUGGACAACAGGUUGAUAUUCCUGUACCACCUCUUUAUCGUUUGAGCAAUGGAGGGACGCAGAAGGAUAGAAGAAGCGUGCGAUUGGUUGUGCACGUCCAAGCAGUUAGGCUGAUAAGUAGGCAAAUCCGCUUAUCGUAAAGGCUGAGCUGUGAUGGGGAAGCUCCUUAUGGAGCGAAGUCUUUGAUUCCCCGCUGCCAAGAAAAGCUUCUAGCGAGAUAAAAGGUGCCUGUACCGCAAACCGACACAGGUAGGCGAGGAGAGAAUCCUAAGGUGUGCGAGAGAACUCUGGUUAAGGAACUCGGCAAAAUGACCCCGUAACUUCGGGAGAAGGGGUGCUUUCUUAACGGAAAGCCGCAGUGAAUAGGCCCAAGCGACUGUUUAGCAAAAACACAGCUCUCUGCGAAGCCGUAAGGCGAAGUAUAGGGGGUGACACCUGCCCGGUGCUGGAAGGUUAAGGAGAGGGGUUAGCGUAAGCGAAGCUCUGAACUGAAGCCCCAGUAAACGGCGGCCGUAACUAUAACGGUCCUAAGGUAGCGAAAUUCCUUGUCGGGUAAGUUCCGACCCGCACGAAAGGUGUAACGAUUUGGGCACUGUCUCAACCAGAGACUCGGUGAAAUUAUAGUACCUGUGAAGAUGCAGGUUACCCGCGACAGGACGGAAAGACCCCGUGGAGCUUUACUGUAGCCUGAUAUUGAAUUUUGGUACAGUUUGUACAGGAUAGGCGGGAGCCUUUGAAACCGGAGCGCUAGCUUCGGUGGAGGCGCUGGUGGGAUACCGCCCUGACUGUAUUGAAAUUCUAACCUACGGGUCUUAUCGACCCGGGAGACAGUGUCAGGUGGGCAGUUUGACUGGGGCGGUCGCCUCCUAAAGUGUAACGGAGGCGCCCAAAGGUUCCCUCAGAAUGGUUGGAAAUCAUUCGUAGAGUGCAAAGGCAUAAGGGAGCUUGACUGCGAGACCUACAAGUCGAGCAGGGACGAAAGUCGGGCUUAGUGAUCCGGUGGUUCCGCAUGGAAGGGCCAUCGCUCAACGGAUAAAAGCUACCCCGGGGAUAACAGGCUUAUCUCCCCCAAGAGUCCACAUCGACGGGGAGGUUUGGCACCUCGAUGUCGGCUCAUCGCAUCCUGGGGCUGUAGUCGGUCCCAAGGGUUGGGCUGUUCGCCCAUUAAAGCGGUACGCGAGCUGGGUUCAGAACGUCGUGAGACAGUUCGGUCCCUAUCCGUCGUGGGCGUAGGAAAUUUGAGAGGAGCUGUCCUUAGUACGAGAGGACCGGGAUGGACGCACCGCUGGUGUACCAGUUGUUCUGCCAAGGGCAUAGCUGGGUAGCUAUGUGCGGAAGGGAUAAGUGCUGAAAGCAUCUAAGCAUGAAGCCCCCCUCAAGAUGAGAUUUCCCAUAGCGUAAGCUAGUAAGAUCCCUGAAAGAUGAUCAGGUUGAUAGGUUCGAGGUGGAAGCAUGGUGACAUGUGGAGCUGACGAAUACUAAUAGAUCGAGGACUUAACCAUAUAA
rnacentral:rRNA from 1 species